GCCUGGGUGGCUCAGUUGGUUGAGCAGCUGACUUCAGCUCAGGUCAGGAUCUCAUGGUUUGUGGGUUCAAGCCCCAUGUGGGGCU
rnacentral:tRNA from 1 species